UGGACAAUGGGCGCAAGCCUGAUCCAGCAAUGCCGCGUGAGUGAAGAAGGCCUUCGGGUUGUAAAGCUCUUUUGUCAGGGAAGAAAAGGCCGCCUCUAAUACAGGCGGCUCAUGACGGUACCUGAAGAAUAAGCACCGGCUAACUACGUGCCAGCAGCCGCGGUAAUACGUAGGGUGCAAGCGUUAAUCGGAAUUACUGGGCGUAAAGCGUGCGCAGGCGGUUAUAUAAGUCAGAUGUGAAAUCCCCGGGCUCAACCUGGGAACUGCAUUUGAGACUGUAUGGCUAGAGUGUGUCAGAGGGGGGUAGAAUUCCACGUGUAGCAGUGAAAUGCGUAGAUAUGUGGAGGAAUACCGAUGGCGAAGGCAGCCCCCUGGGAUAACACUGACGCUCAUGCACGAAAGCGUGGGGAGCAAACAGGAUUAGAUACCCUGGUAGUCCACGCCCUAAACGAUGUCUACUAGUUGUUGGGUCUUAAUUGA
rnacentral:rRNA from 1 species